UCUUCCGGUGUCUCUGACAGGGUUUUCUAAGCCACUUCUCCGGCGACUUUUUGGUCUUCCGCUUUUUGCCACCGCCCCCAACUUUCCCACUCGUGCGGGCCCUGCCUUUUCUUGUGUCGCUCCUCCCCUGGCAGCCGCGCCCGGGCCUCACACCGCCAUUCGGCACCAAGCUAGGCCUGUACUCGUCCCGCGGACCACCACUACCUCCUUAGGCUCGGGCGACAGCUGGGGCGGGCGCGCCCCGUCGGUGGGUCCGACUCAGCUAUUCCCCACGGACGCUUAUGAGUUCGGAGGUUUUCGGAGAGGGACUCAGCCCGGUAGGCCCUGGUCGGGGGCGGGGUGCGCGAAACUUUUUUUUUUUUUUUGAGAUUGUUACACUUUUGUGUCGUACCGGAGGUCCCGGCCAUACCUCGUAGGUCGGAGGAGAAGUAGUAGCGCUUAUUCCUCCCACUCCUCUUCCCGGGGUCCCGUUUCCAGCCCCCUGCCCGCCCUGCCCGCGGCCCCGGACCCAGAGGACGGCGGCGGGACUCCGCGUGGUGUUUGACGAGGCGGCGGAGAGCUAAGGUGCGUGUGUGCGGGUAGAAGAAUACAUGAUUACUUUCAGUAAAGAAGAGCAUGUUCCCAAACUCAAUUUUGGGUCGUCCGCCCUUCACUCCAAACCAUCAGCAGCAUAACUUCUUUGCCCUGUCACCAACUCUUUAUUCACACCAGCAGCUUAUAGAUGCUCAGUUCAACUUCCAGAAUGCAGACUUGUCCAGAGCUGUGUCACUACAACAGCUGACAUAUGGAAAUAUCAGUCCAAUACAGACCUCAACAUCCCCAUUAUUUCGAGGAAGAAAGUAAGUACCUUUCAAUUUUUUUUGCAGUCCUGAAAACUCUAUUAUAGUUGUAUA